GAUGAACGCUGGCGGCGUGCCUAAUACAUGCAAGUCGAGCGAACAGACGAGGAGCUUGCUCCUCUGACGUUAGCGGCGGACGGGUGAGUAACACGUGGAUAACCUACCUAUAAGACUGGGAUAACUUCGGGAAACCGGAGCUAAUACCGGAUAAUAUAUUGAACCGCAUGGUUCAAUAGUGAAAGACGGUUUUGCUGUCACUUAUAGAUGGAUCCGCGCCGCAUUAGCUAGUUGGUAAGGUAACGGCUUACCAAGGCAACGAUGCGUAGCCGACCUGAGAGGGUGAUCGGCCACACUGGAGCGUAGACACGGUCCAGACUACUACGGGAGGCAGCAGUAGGGAAUCGUCCGCAAUGGGCGAAAGCCUGACGGAGCAACGCCGCGUGAGUGAUGAAGGUCUUCGGAUCGUAAAACUCUGUUAUUAGGGAAGAACAAAUGUGUAAGUAACUAUGCACGUCUUGACGGUACCUAAUCAGAAAGCCACGGCUAACUACGUG
rnacentral:rRNA from 1 species